rnacentral:rRNA from 1 species
AACCUGGCGGCGUGCCUAUACAUGCAGUCGAGCGAACGGACGAGAAGCUUGCUUCUCUGAUGUUAGCGGCGGACGGGUGAGUAACACGUGGAUAACCUACCUAUAAGACUGGGAUAACUUCGGGAAACCGGAGCUAAUACCGGAUAAUAUUUUGAACCGCAUGGUUCAAAAGUGAAAGACGGUCUUGCUGUCACUUAUAGAUGGAUCCGCGCUGCAUUAGCUAGUUGGUAAGGUAACGGCUUACCAAGGCAACGAUGCAUAGCCGACCUGAGAGGGUGAUCGGCCACACUGGAACUGAGACACGGUCCAGACUCCUACGGGAGGCAGCAGUAGGGAAUCUUCCGCAAUGGGCGAAAGCCUGACGGAGCAACGCCGCGUGAGUGAUGAAGGUCUUCGGAUCGUAAAACUCUGUUAUUAGGGAAGAACAUAUGUGUAAGUAACUGUGCACAUCUUGACGGUACCUAAUCAGAAAGCCACGGCUAACUACGUGCCAGCAGCCGCGGUAAU